GACGAACGCUGGCGGCGUGCCUAAUACAUGCAAGUUGAGCGCUGAAGGUUGGUACUUGUACCGACUGGAUGAGCAGCGAACGGGUGAGUAACGCGUGGGGAAUCUGCCUUUGAGCGGGGGACAACAUUUGGAAACGAAUGCUAAUACCGCAUAAAAACUUUAAACACAAGUUUUAAGGUUGAAAGAUGCAAUUGCAUCACUCAAAGAUGAUCCCGCGUUGUAUUAGCUAGUUGGUGAGGUAAAGGCUCACCAAGGCGAUGAUACAUAGCCGACCUGAGAGGGUGAGCGGCCACAUUGGGACUGAGACACGGCCCAAACUCCUACGGGAGGCAGCAGUAGGGAAUCUUCGGCAAUGGACGAAAGUCUGACCGAGCAACGCCGCGUGAGUGAAGAAGGUUUUCGGAUCGUAAAACUCUGUUGGUAGAGAAGAACGUUGGUGAGAGUGGAAAGCUCAUCAAGUGACGGUAACUACCCAGAAAGGGACGGCUAACUACGUG
rnacentral:rRNA from 1 species